GUGAAGAACGUAGCGAAAUGCGAUAAGUAAUGUGAAUUGCAGAAUUCCGUGAAUCAUCGAAUCUUUGAACGCACAUUGCGCCCUCUGGUAUUCCGGGGGGCAUGCCUGUCCGAGCGUCAUUUGCAACCCUCAAGCCCGGCUUGUGUGAUGGGUGCCGUCCCCUACGGGACGCGCCCCGAAGGCAAUGGCGGCGUCGCGGUUAUCCGAUCAGCCAAAGUGUAUGGGGCUUUGUCACUCACUUUACGGCCCGGACCGGCGCCAGUCCGAAUCAAUCUUUUUUCUAAAGUUGACCUCGGAUCAGGUAGGGAUACCCGCUGAACUUAAGCAUAUCAAUAAGCGGAGGA
rnacentral:misc_RNA from 1 species